ensembl:lncRNA
AGAUAAUUAUAUUUGCAAAGACACUUUUUCUUCAAAUAAGGUCACAUUUGCAGGUCCUGUGGAUCAGGACACAGGCGUAUCCUCUGGGGACCACCAUUUGGCCUUCUCCAUCUUCCUAAUUCUGCCUCCCAUGCCUGGCUCCUUUUAAUCACACUGGCCACCUUUAUGUGCCUCCACAGUGACGCACUUUCACUCCGGAGUCUUAGCAAACGCUGUGCCCUCUGUCUGGACAUCUGUUAUGCCAUAUUUCCUGUGUGCUCAACUGCCCCGUGGUAUGCGGGAUCUUACUUUUCGACCUGGAUCAAGUCAACAUUCCCUCCAUUGCAAGGCAGAUUCUUAGCCAUUGGACCAGCAAGGAAGUGAACGCCAAGGACCACCUUAAGAGAACUCUCUCUCCUUUUUUUAAUGUAUCUAGUGGCAUGUGGAACUUCCCCAACCAUGGAUUCAACCUGUGUCCCCUACAGCAGAAGCUCAGAAUCUUAACCACUGGACUUGCCAGGAAAGUCCCUAUCUACUCAUUUUAGAAGCUGCUUACAUCAGUGCUUUACUCCCUCCCCCUUCAAUGAGGUUAUGUCACACAUUUGUAAAACAGAUUCUUUGGUCUCUGUAUUCUGUCUUGUAGUUGUCCGGUCUCCCAACUGAUAUGUUUUUAAAUUUGCAUUCUUUAAGAUUCAUUCUCGAGUUGUAAAGCCCUGUGGGUUUUGGCGAAUACACAAUGUCAUGAUCACAACCAGAAAAAAAUCCCCAGGGCUUCCCCUAUUUAACUUUUCCUCCUCCCCAAAUUCCUGGAAGCUUCUGAUCUAUUUUCUGUCUAUAAUUUUGCCUCUUCUGGGAUAUCAUACACACAGAAUCAUACAGAAUGUAGCCUUGUCAGACUGGAUUCUUACACUUAGUAAAACAUUUAAGAUUCAUUCAUUUUGCCACACCCACAGUGUUUUUAUAACAAAAACAUGUACAUUGUUGUCAAACAUUAUUUCCUCUACAAACCAGAAUGUUUAAUAAAAGUCUGUAGACGCUAAUGAGGAAG